rnacentral:lncRNA from 1 species
GUUGUUUAGCAUCUCUUUUUUAUUGUAUUUCUAUGUUGUCAAGCAACUUCAAAAGUUUUGUUAAGCUUUUACAUUCAUAUGUUAAAUUUACAACAUGUUUGAUGUUUCACCUUGAUGACUUAGGUUGAAUUCCUGAUCUUUUUUUUUUAACCACAAAAAAGGUGGGGUUAGGUGGAACCCCUAUCUUUCAUAUAAAUCAUAGAAUGAAUCAAAUACAUAAGGAGGUGAAUAUAAAUCAAAACCGCAAUUGCAAGAACAUAAGAAUGGAAAAGAGAAAAAUACAAGAUAAAAAAUGGAAUACAAAAAUAAGAAAUCCUAUUGCCUGAUAUGAGAAAUUACCCACAUAUCCAAACGGAGAUUAUUAGAUAAGCUAGCAGAGAUAUCCUGAGAACCCAAGAAACACCGAUGACCUUGAAGAGUGCAGGCCAACGAAAUCAGCAGUAGAAGUAGCCUUCUGAAGCACAUGACUAACCACGAAGUAGAAGAAAAUGUCAAACUACACACUCGACGCAAAGAAUAGGUAUAGUCCGA